AUUGAACGCUGGCGGCAGGCCUAACACAUGCAAGUCGAGCGGCAGCGGGGGGGAGCUUGCUUCCCUGCCGGCGAGCGGCGGACGGGUGAGUAAUGUCUGGGGAUCUGCCUGAUGGAGGGGGAUAACUACUGGAAACGGUAGCUAAUACCGCAUAACGUCGCAAGACCAAAGUGGGGGACCUUCGGGCCUCACGCCAUCGGAUGAACCCAGAUGGGAUUAGCUAGUAGGUGGGGUAACGGCUCACCUAGGCGGCGAUCCCUAGCUGGUCUGAGGGGAUGACCAGCCACACUGGAACUGAGACACGGUCCAGACUCCUACGGGAGGCAGCAGUGGGGAAUAUUGCACAAUGGGGGAAACCCUGAUGCAGCCAUGCCGCGUGUGUGAAGAAGGCCUUCGGGUUGUAAAGCACUUUCAGCGGGGAGGAAGGCGGUAAGGUUAAUAACCUUACCGAUUGACGUUACCCGCAGAAGAAGCACCGGCUAACUCCGUGCCAGCCGCCGCAGUAA
rnacentral:rRNA from 1 species